rnacentral:rRNA from 1 species
CAGUCGCCGCGGUAAUACGUAGGGUGCGAGCGUUAAUCGGAAUUACUGGGCGUAAAGCGAGCGCAGACGGUUAUUUAAGCAGGAUGUGAAAUCCCCGGGCUUAACCUGGGAACUGCGUUCUGAACUGGAUAGCUAGAGUGUGUCAGAAGGGGGUAGAAUUCCACGUGUAGCAGUGAAAUGCGUAGAGAUGUGGAGGAAUACCGAUGGCGAAGGCAGCCCCCUGGGAUAACACUGACGUUCAUGCUCGAAAGCGUGGGUAGCAAACAGGAUUAGAUACCCCCGUAGUCCCUGUCUCUUAUAC